AUUUCCACGAUCGUAUUUACAAUUGUUACUAUCGUAUAAUAACGUUACUGCGCACACACUUAUACUAGAUUCCUUCAAACACACGCUGCAUUUUUUUUAAAUCACUUAAUCGCCGAAGGAUGUCACACAUCAAAUUUGAUUCAAUGUCGCCCUCUGCAGGAUAAACUCAGACCCUUCAACUGUCCAAAAGAUGCUAUGGAUCCGUUGCAUUCGGACCUCAUCAAAAUCUGCGAUGAUCUCGUUGAGCAGCCGCAAACACUCCACGCCCUGAUUGUUCAUCUCCGUCUGCGAGUAAAAAUCUGCAAAGCCUGGGAUGGAGGCAAACAUGACUCCCACGGUGUCAUAUGACUGAGAGUAGAGCUCCUACAGACAGAAAUAACGCAUUAAAAACCUCUUUGAAACUCUAAUAAAGUUGUGUCAAAGUGAGACAUCCUAAAA